GAUGUAUAUCCAUAGACUAAAUGUAGAGAGAAAGUGCAUGAUCCUUGGAAAAUAAAGUAUAGUAAAGACAACACAUACAAUAUCCAACUAGUAUUUACUGUUUUAUUCAGACAUUAUAGUUAGAGUCAUGUGGUACAUCUUCAACAUGUGUGUUGCAUAAAGGCUUCACCAUACUAGGUUUGGUUUCCUUCCUGCAGAACUCAGCUAGGCGAAGUGAACAUCUGCGCUCUUAUACUCCCUUAAAAUACAUUAGCUUGAAAAACGAAGAAAAAGCGGCAUUACUGUUUGCCCGUCUUAAGACGACAUAGCAACAAGUAAACUUCCUCAAAACACUGGGAAGCACAAGGUUUGUCGAAGUUCAGUAGCCGAAGUCUACCCCCCUUCGCCGGUGAUUGGCCAACAGUAGGAAUACCUGAAUGAAGCGCUUGUCUUUCAAUGACAGACUAGUUUUCAUGCAAAUACUGCACCAACAUCUUGGUUAGAUGUAACAUUUUGCCACAAAGACCUCCUUGACAAAACGUCAAAAUUAAUUACAUAUUUCUUGAGUUGUCUUAAUUCAUACUAUUUUGAGGAAGUGUACUGGCUACGGCAUCUCAAGAGGGACAAACAUUAACAAUGCCAUUUUUUUUCUCAUUUGUCAAACAAAGGUAUUUUAAGGGAGUAUGCAAGCACAGACUUCGCCUAGCCGAGUUCUGCUAGGAGCAAAACGAGCAUGUGUAUCCGGACACCUUAAGCUUUAUAGUCCACUCCUCUUCAUGCGUAUGUCAUGUUCAGUUCCUGUGUUCUCAGUAAAGGGGCUGUGUCAUCACCGAGGUGAAAUGUUACUAGAAAUGAGUGAAAUUAAGAAAAGGAUUUUCAACAGAAUUCAGUUUGGGUGUGAUGAAUGCAUCGCUGUAUUGCUGUUCUUGUGGGGAAAUCCCCACAAGAAUAGGAAACAAACACACAUUCUGGGACAUUUUGUUUGUCCCCACAAGGUCAAAUGCUUUUUCUAGGGGGUUUAGGGUUAAGGUUAGAAUUAGUGUUGGAAUUAAGUUUAGGGUUAGGAGCUAGGGUUAGGGUUUUGGAUUAAGGUUAGGGUUAGGGUUAAGGUUAGGGAAAAAGUACGGGUUAGGGUUAGGUUUAGAGCUUAGGGAAAAUAGGAUUUUGAAUGGGACUGAAUUCUGUGUCCAAACAAGGUUAGCUGUACAUCUCCUGAUGCACUGAGUCUCAUCCGCAGCUCUGCAUUCUCCCUCUGCAGAACUUUAUAUAUUUUUUAAAGUCAGAUCUCGCCGUUCUCCUCUGAGACUCCUCUCUCUACAAAACGCAUCUGCGAUAAUGAACACCAGCAGGUGAUACUGGGGAGAGGAGCAAGAAAAUAAAAAAGAUAAGAGAUCUGCAAUCUACAACCCAUAGAUGUUUUUAGUGAUGUGCCCUGAAAUCAAGACUGAAUGAUUUCACUGUACUCACAAAUGUCUAGCUCUGAAACAGGUAACAUUGGUACAUAUCUGCAGCUGGGUGUUUAGCCACAAAGCCAAAGACUUUGGGUGGGGUCGGGAGGACGGCACAGAAGGACACAGAGGAGAGGGGGCUGGGAACACAAGACAAAAGAGGGAAGUAAGAAUGAGAGUGAUAAAAAGCGAAAGGAAGAUUAUUGGAAGAGGGAGGAUGGGGCAGUUGUAUUACACAACACCAUAGAAACACAGAAAAAUGUAGUUACUUCUGUAAACCAAGUGUACAUUUCUCCUUUUUAGACCUCAUCAUAAUGAAGCAGUUUCAUUUUCCCUUGGAGUUUAACCCUAAGCUCUCACCUUGGAGUUGAACCCUAGGCUCUGACAUUGGAGUUGGACCCUAGGCUCUGACCUUGGAGUUGGAGCCUCUUCCCUUGGAGUUGAACCCUAGGCUCUUCCCUUGGAGUUGAAACCUAGGCUCUGACCUUGGAGUUGGAGCCUCUUCCCUUGGAGUUGAACCCUAGGCUCUGAUCUUGGAGUUGGAGCCUCUUCCCUUGGAGUUGAACCCUAGGCUCUGACCUUGGAGUUGGAGCCUCUUCCCUUGGAGUUGAACCCUAGGCUCUGACCUUGGAGCUGAACCCUAGGCUCUGACCUUGGAGUUGGAGCCUAAGCUCUGACCUUGGAGUUGAACCCUAGGCUCUGACCUUGGAGUUGGAGCCUAAGCUCUUCCUUUUGAGUUAGACCCUAGGCUAUUCCUUUGUUGUUGGACACUACGCAACUAAGCAUUUAACGUUAGGCAGCGUCUUUUUUUGGUGCAGUCCUUGAUUUCAACGUCCACGGACCUACCGGUCCGAAACAAAUCUGAACCAAUCACAGACAUCCGAUCCAGCCUAUAUUUGGCCCAAAUAUAGACGUUCCGAUUUAGUCCAGUCCGGAGCGGCCUUGAUUUAGCCCAAACAUAGACGUCUAGAAUUGGUUCAGAUUUCUAUGUUUCACAAGUUUGGACAGCACAGUACAGUAGAGCACAGCCCGAGUACAGUAGGUUAAAAUACACAGUACAGUACAGGAAGAGUAUAGUACAGUAGAGUCCAGUACAGUACAAUGCAGUGGAGCACACUAGCCUACAGUAAAGAAAAGUGUACUAUAAUGUAUCUUACUUGACUCUACUGUAAUGAACUCUACUGUAAUGUACUCUACUGAAGUAAACUGUACUCUACUGUAAUGUACUCUACUGAAGUAAACAGUACUCUACUGUAAUGUACUACUGAAGUAAACUGUACUCUACUUAAUUAACUAUUCUGUACUGUAAUGUACUGUCCUCUACUGAAUAAAACUGAACUGUCCUGUAGUGUACUCUUCUGUGUUCUACUGUACAAAACUCUACUGUGAUGUUCAAACUUGUGAAACAUAGUCUUUAACGUCUGAUUCGUUCAGAUUUGGAUCUGGUCCGCACCAACCAAAUUGUACUUGUUUGGGGGCAGAGCUCAUUAAUACCCAGCAUGCUUUGCAAGUGUUUGUUUUUAUGUUUACAUUUUGGUCAUUCAGCAGCCGCUCUUAUCCAGUGACUUAGUCAGUGCAUUCAACUAAGGAUAGAUAAAUGACAACAUAUCACAAUAAUAGUGAUAAAAUAAAAUACAUCUCUAACCAUUACUCAGAAUGUUAUUGUAGUUGAAGUGGUCUGUUGGUUUAUUAGCUAUGAUGUAUUACUUUGAACAUCAUUGCUGCCAGAUUUUGAAAAAGCAAGCAUAACUGCAUGUGAUAGAUGGGAGUAAUAAUACAUAUUCCUCUUUCCUAUUAAAAUGUGUGAAAAAAAGUAUAAUUGUGUUGAUAAUUGAGAAUGUUUAGCAGCUGAAAUUUGGCCAUAGAAUCAGUGACUGAAAAAUACUUAUUUACAAUGUCUGCAAAUGACAUUUUUUUUUACAUCCAGAAAAUGUGUAUUUUUACCUUUCAAUCAGCACCUAAAAUCCACAAGAUGUUAAUGUCAGGACAAGAUUACUGUAAUAUGUAUUUUCUAUGUCAUUUUGCUUACUGAGUAGACUCACCUUGGUUUUGUGCUCCAAAAUGUCAAUCCUGCUCAUGGACAAAAACAAACACUUGCUCUUCUUCUGCAGCUUUUCUGUCGACUCUGCGUCAGAUAUCUAAUGGAGGGCAAAGGACAGGGCCUUGCUCAACCACUGAAUAUGAAUAUUUAAAUCAAUCUGAUCUUUUGAAAACUGUUAAUUGAAACCAUGUUAGACACUGAUAAAAUUGCUUCUUUCAUGA